rnacentral:rRNA from 1 species
GAGCUUCUACCCGACCGAUUAGCCCAGAGCACUAAUACGCUUUCUUUCCUCGAACAAGUACCUUUCCUUCGUGGGGGUCUUCUGUUCACUCUGAUGAUUAGGAUGAAGGAAGUAUACAGGGAGGUCUGCCAACCAUUUAAUGAGGAAGGUGGUCUUCAUUUCUCUUGCGUAUGGAAGCUUAAGGUCAUUCCCUGCAUUCCGUUUUUUUGGUGGAACCAAUUCACUUGAGUGAGACAGAGGAGAGUGGAAUUUCGGGUGUAGGGGUGAAAUCCGUAGAUCUACGAAGGAACGCCAAAAGCGAAGGCAACUCUCUGGGUCCCUACCGACGCUGGGGUGCGAAAGCAUGGGGAGCGAACAGGAUUAGAUACCCUGGUAGUCCAUGCCGUAAACAAUGAGUGUUCCCCGUUCGUCGUAAAGGCUAUGAUAUCAGGCUUCCGGGCCACAGGCGCCUGUUCC